rnacentral:rRNA from 1 species
UUUGAGUCUCCUGAAGGAACGUUAAAGACGAUGACGUUGAUAGGCCGGGUGUGUAAGCGCAGCGAUGCGUUGAGCUAACCGGUACUAAUGAACCGUGAGGCUUAACCUU